GCUACAGGCUUAACACAUGCAAGUCGAGGGGCAGCCUGGUCUUAGCUUGCUAAGGCCGAUGGCGACCGGCGCACGGGUGAGUAACACGUAUCCAACCUGCCGUCUACUCUUGGACAGCCUUCUGAAAGGAAGAUUAAUACAAGAUGGCAUCAUGAGUCCGCAUGUUCACAUGAUUAAAGGUAUUCCGGUAGACGAUGGGGAUGCGUUCCAUUAGAUAGUAGGCGGGGUAACGGCCCACCUAGUCUUCGAUGGAUAGGGGUUCUGAGAGGAAGGUCCCCCACAUUGGAACUGAGACACGGUCCAAACUCCUACGGGAGGCAGCAGUGAGGAAUAUUGGUCAAUGGGCGAGAGCCUGAACCAGCCAAGUAGCGUGAAGGAUGACUGCCCUAUGGGUUGUAAACUUCUUUUAUAAAGGAAUAAAGUCGGGUAUGGAUACCCGUUUGCAUGUACUUUAUGAAUAAGGAUCGGCUAACUCCGUGCCAGCAGCCGCGGUAAUACGGAGGAUCCGAGCGUUAUCCGGAUUUAUUGGGUUUAAAGGGAGCGUAGAUGGAUGUUUAAGUCAGUUGUGAAAGUUUGUGGCUCAACCGUAAAAUUGCAGUUGAUACUGGAUAUCUUGAGUGCAGUUGAGGCAGGCGGAAUUCGUGGUGUAGCGGUGAAAUGCUUAGAUAUCACGAAGAACUCCGAUUGCGAAGGCAGCCUGCUAAGCUGCAACUGACAUUGAGGCUCGAAAGUGUGGGUAUCAAACAGGAUUAGAUACCCUGGUAGUCCACACGGUAAACGAUGAAUACUCGCUGUUUGCGAUAUACUGCAAGCGGCCAAGCGAAAGCGUUAAGUAUUCCACCUGGGGAGUACGCCGGCAACGGUGAAACUCAAAGGAAUUGACGGGGGCCCGCACAAGCGGAGGAACAUGUGGUUUAAUUCGAUGAUACGCGAGGAACCUUACCCGGGCUUAAAUUGCAGAUGAAUUACGGUGAAAGCCGUAAGCCGCAAGGCAUCUGUGAAGGUGCUGCAUGGUUGUCGUCAGCUCGUGCCGUGAGGUGUCGGCUUAAGUGCCAUAACGAGCGCAACCCUUGUUGUCAGUUACUAACAGGUUCCGCUGAGGACUCUGACAAGACUGCCAUCGUAAGAUGUGAGGAAGGUGGGGAUGACGUCAAAUCAGCACGGCCCUUACGUCCGGGGCUACACACGUGUUACAAUGGGGGGUACAGAGGGCCGCUACCACGCGAGUGGAUGCCAAUCCCCAAAACCUCUCUCAGUUCGGACUGGAGUCUGCAACCCGACUCCACGAAGCUGGAUUCGCUAGUAAUCGCGCAUCAGCCACGGCGCGGUGAAUACGUUCCCGGGCCUUGUACACACCGCCCGUCAAGCCAUGGGAGCCGGGGGUACCUGAAGUGCGUAACCGCGAGGAGCGCCCUAGGGUAAAACUGGUGACUGGGGCUAAGUC
rnacentral:rRNA from 1 species